AGACCCGAAACCCGGUGAUCUAGCCAUGGGCAGGUUGAAGGUUGGGUAACACUAACUGGAGGACCGAACCGACUAAUGUUGAAAAAUUAGCGGAUGACCUGUGGCUGGGGGUGAAAGGCCAAUCAAACCGGGAGAUAGCUGGUUCUCCCCGAAAGCUAUUUAGGUAGCGCCUCGUGAAUUCAUCUCCGGGGGUAGAGCACUGUUUCGGCUAGGGGGCCAUCCCGGCUUACCAACCCGAUGCAAACUGCGAAUACCGGAGAAUGUUAUCACGGGAGACACACGGCGGGUGCUAACGUCCGUCGUGAAGAGGGAAACAACCCAGACCGCCAGCUAAGGUCCCAAAGUCAUAGUUAAGUGGGAAACGAUGUGGGAAGGCCCAGACAGCCAGGAUGUUGGCUUAGAAGCAGCCAUCAUUUAAAGAAAGCGUAAUAGCUCACUGGUCGAGUCGGCCUGCGCGGAAGAUGUAACGGGGCUAAACUAUGCACCGAAGCUGCGGCAGCGACACUAUGUGUUGUUGGGUAGGGGAGCGUUCUGUAAGCCUGUGAAGGUGUGUCGUGAGGCAUGCUGGAGGUAUCAGAAGUGCGAAUGCUGACAUAA
rnacentral:rRNA from 1 species